CCCCUCUCAGGGUCGCACCUGGAGAGUUUCCAGAACUCUACCAGCCUUGACUAUGGGAGGGAGAGUCAAGGAGAGGCAUAUCGAUUCCAUUCCUAGCAUGCUCAGUGGCUAGCGAGUGGAAGGCAAUCUGCUGCAAGU